AGUUCCAUGGAAACCCGCUCGCCUGCUGCAGUACGGAGCCUCAGGCGGACAGAUGGACUGUAAGAGGCUAUUUGGAAGCUCCAAACUGUUUAGAAGACCUGGACAGCCAGAAAGUCAUUAGUCCUAUCCAAAAUGAAGCAAUUUGUGCAGUAAAAACAGAUAUUUUAUGGAAGAACUGUGAGUUUCUGGUAAAUCGAAUGUGCCGUCUUGAAAGCCUCAUGCAGUCCUUGAAGAUGAACAUCUUUCGGCUGCAAACUGAAAAGGAUUUGAAUCCUCAGAAAACAGGUAUAGAGAUAAGAAUCAUCAGAAAUGUGGUCCUGUAUAGGUGCUUGAUUUUCUUUACUGACCUUCUUUCUGCUGCUUGAUGCCCCUCCUGUGCGGUCUGGUAGCUUUUCUGAAAGAUCGACUGAAUGCAAUACAGGAAGAGCAUUCUAAGGACCUGAAGCUGUUGCAUCUCGAAGUUAUGAAUUUGCGCCAGCGACUGAGAGCUAUAAAAGAGGAAGAAGACAAGGCACAGGAUGAGGUGCAAAGGUUGACUGCCACUCUGGAGAUUGCCUCACAAACAAAGGUUUGAGUCUAAGAGUUCUGAAGUAUAAACACACUGUUAUGUGUUAGCUGGAGGAGGUAACAGACCUAUGACGUGACUUUUAAAAAUAGGUGAUGUUGAUAUGGGGAUUCUUGGCAUUUGACAUUUGGCAUGUUGAUUUGAGGAUUCUUGGCCUAUGACAUUUGCACUGAUAACCUAAACCACUGUGUGCUAUCUGUGAUUGAUUAUUUGUACAACCCUUACCCCAUACAAGUGAUGGUGUGGGUUCAGAGGUAUGAGAUAGAGCCUGUGCUCUUCAGGAACUCAUAUGCUAG
rnacentral:sRNA from 1 species